CAGAUUCCUAUGCUAAAACAAGUUCUCGAAUGUUUUUACAACAUUAGCAGUAAGCAAACAACUCGACAUUUUGACAUGUUUUCUUCUAGUCAUGUUAGACUAAGAUUAGCCCAUAGGUAGCCAAUGACGAAUUUGGUAUUUUGACGGGACGCGUGGGGGGCGAAACUGGGGGCGAUGUAAAUAUAGCUAUGAUUCAAAGGAAGCAGGCGGGAACGGUUUGAAUACAACCAAAUCCUGGAUCUCUUAGAUGGUCGCACGAUCGAUCUACAAACAACCUGCGGUGGAAACCUAAUAUCCACAAGCAAAACAAUACACACAUUGAAGGUCAGAUGGAGCUGCCCUUUGAAUUGAGUUAUUGAAAGGAGUAAUUGUAGCUAUUACGAAAAGUUUUCUCUAGACAUGGAGGUCUUCUUAACCUGGUGGUGGGCACCGUGUUCCAGACCGUACCAGCACCAAGGGAUGGCGGUGUACUAUCAAUAGACUCCAAAUUGUCUAGUGGUUUUUGAGAGGGAAAAACGGGAGUAUUCAUUUCUGUUCCGGAUAACUAAUUCUUCCGUCUGAAUUCCCUUGCUCUUAUCGUAGAGUUUAGACAUGCUAGAUUGAGCUGAAGCUAAACUUAUAAAGAAAAACACAUGUAUUGGCUUGGUGGCGCGAGUGGUAGCUGUCAUCUACCGUACCCAGCUCCUAAAUAGUACCGCUUAUCAGAUUAUAACAAUAAUCGAGUCUCAAAAUCGCUUUCUAUCUUUGUAGCGUUCUAAAAUUCUGAAGCAUGACAAUAAAGAGCUCUUAUCGCUUCCCGAAAAAUAUCGAACUGAAGAUAAGGAAUAAAUCCAAAGCGUUCCUCUAUAUUUUCUCUAGCACACUUAACAGCGCUUAAUUAGCACAAUUGAAUUUCAGUUAACUUGACUUGAAAGGAGUUUCCAAAGUAAACGUUUACUAUCUAUCUGGAAGGUAUUAUCCUGUCGAGGAUAGUGUAUUGUGCUCUAGAUGUAUACAUGUCCAGCAUGUACAAAUAUUCGUAGUGGCGAACGAAGGGAAACAUCUAAAUGAAGCACGUAGAAUGAGAGAAUUGGGAUUAAAAACUAUUGCACAACGGAACAAGGAUUAUACUCAACUGAAUUACAAUCAGAAGUGAUCCUCCAGAACAAAUAGCUAAAAUGGUCGGAAAACGUUCUAAGAGUUCAACAAAUAAAAGUCAACACACGUUUGCGUGAGACGUGUUAUG